UCAGUACUCUCCUCUUUAUUCUCUUUCUGAAAGCAAAUUAAAAUCGAUGAUUGCACCGCUAUUUGCAAUCAAUGUUAAUCGUUAUUAUAUUUCGAAUGAGAUUCACUGAUUAUAAUGCGGUGUUCGGGUCACGUGCACGAUUGCCUCAUCGUCGUUCAGUGUAAUUAGAAAAUUAAUUUCAACUUUAUCUGCUUUUCCGGUCCGACUGUAGUGCGCGAUGCAGACUGCGCGUUUAUAAUCGCAAAAUGUAUCGCA